CUAAGUGUUCGGAGAGAAACAUGACCCAAGGUAGAGGGGGAAAUCGCACUGGGCGGAAAGGAGGUGGAGGGAGUUCUAGGCGUGGGAAUGUGCGGGACAAUGGAAAGGCCCUGAAAGCUCUCAGGAGAGAACAGAGCUGGGAAAGCUGAGCGAGGCUCAUUUCCUCACCAGAAAGGAACUGCGUGGUGGUUCCAAGGGGACGUGACUUCCACCAUGCCCAGCGGCCUGCCUGGAUGUGUGAGAUCGGAAGGGCGG